rnacentral:misc_RNA from 1 species
GGUCUCGAAAAGGUUGUUAAAUUUAUUUUUGGCAGAGGGUACGAUGAUGUUUGGAAUGGAUCACAAAAACGUCUUGAGCGUACUCUGUGUCAACACGGAAAAUCCCACUAGACCUUUGCUGGUUUUUUCCUAUGCAAGUAGAGGAAAUUUAAAAAGAUUCCUGGUAAACUGUCGGCAAAGAAAGGAUGACACUACAGUUUCCACUCAAAUCCUGGUUGAUAUGGCUAUUCAGAUUCUUCUGGGGCUGAUGUAUCUUCACAGCAAAAAUAUUUGCUUGAAAGACAUGGCCGCUAGAAAUGCCGUGGUCGGAGAAAAGUUCGACAUAAAAAUUACGGACAACUGUCUGUCCCGAGACAUGUUCCCCAAUGACUACUUUUGCGUUGGGGAUAAGGAGAGCAAACCCAUUAAGUGGAUGGCUUUAGAAAGCCUCGUAUAUGACCAAUGGACUCUCCAAACUGAUGUGUGGGCCUUUGGGGUAACUUUAUGGGAACUAACCACCAUGUGCCAACAACCAUAUGCCGACAUCGAUCCUUUUGAAAUGUCCACUCAUCUUAGGACCGGCUAUAGAUUAGGACAGCCCUUAGGAUGCCCAGACGAAUUAUACUCGGUUAUGUCAUAUUGCUGGCUUCAGAACCCAACAGAUCGUCCUCAGCUAAAUCAGCUUCUAGCUUACUUGAACGAAUUCUACACGGCUCUUUGCAGAUUCGUAUAAAUCAAUGGAUGUCUAUCUAAAUAGCUUUACAGUAGUACAAACCGAACAGUUUUCCCAACAAUUUGCGCUCGUCAUAAUUUAAUGCAGCAAAUCUUUCCAACUAAGGCAAGAUUUAAGUUUUUUCUCUUUCCUUUUUUUCACUAAAUAGGCGUAAUGUGCAGCCUCCAGGCAAAUUGUUAGUGGUGCUUAAUAAAUAAUCAAACAAGUUAUAAUUCUGAAGCCUUGAGCAAGAUUAUUGAAGGCAAAUUUAGCCGAACAUCAGUAUAAUCUUCCAAACGUAUAUUGGGAGAAGACGGCUUGGCUUGACUCGCAUAAUCUCAUUUCUAAAUGCACUUGAUGGUAUAUCCUCUUAAAGGAACAUUCGCCAGUGUUUUAAAGAUUAUUUUGACCAUGAAAGCUUCCGUUCAAAAUACAUAAACAUGAAAGAAUCUUAAGAUAAUGGGAACUUGAUUUGCUGUUACCUUGGUUUAAAAUUCUUAACUGCUUUUCCAUUAAUUAAGUGUAAUUUUGCUUUUUUUACGUCGAAAUCAUCAGCAAAAAUGAUUGGCGCAAUAGGAGGAACUGCAAACUGAAGUAAUCGUUUUGACAUUAAAACAUAUCUUCGCUUAUGUGCAAUUAGAUUUGUGUAAAUAUGAUUGAAAGGUUUGCACAAGGUGAUAUCUUCGGUUAUUGUUAUCUGCAUGUAGGUAUUUUGUGCAAAUCAGAUUUUGCUGCGUUAGAUUGGGCCUCUGAGAUUUAGUAAAAUCUAAGAUACUGCAAAACUGAAAUAUAUUUCUCAAAUAAAGACUGAAAAUAUAUUUACAUGUAUUAUAUAAAAGUGUUAAAUAUAGAAUUCAGACAUUGCAUUGUUGUGCAAUAUUUGAAGUUACAGAUGCUCUGAUUUCACACGGGGAGGAUUAACAAUUAGUGUUUGUACAGCAUAAACUAGGUGUAAGACUUAAUUGCUUAUGGGACCUAUAAACAUUUCGUAAAUCUCUUUUUACAACUGGUUUUCCUUAAGCAGGAAUGGUACAAUAAUUUUAAUUAUAAAAUGCCUGAAACGUUCUUAUCAAAUCCUUACCACGUGGCUGUAUUCUUGCUACAAUUUCCUAUCCAUGCACAAACAGCCCUAAUAUUUAUUUUAGUUCUAUAUCAUAAAUCAUGAAAACUAAGGACGUAUCAGAAUCUCAAAAUCAACUUGUAUUAUGUGCUUUGUGAUAAAGCAUUUUUGGUAGUAAAAGAACAAACUAACAUCCUCGAACUGCAACUAUACCGAAAGUUACAUCGGCAAACAGAAACAAAAGUUUUACUGCCCUGUAAAAUUUACAAAAGUACUCGAAAACCCGGUUUUUAUUGGGUAUAUAAUUAACAAGUCAAAGAGGCCUAAAAUGUUUGUUUUCUAUUUAUAUAAGGGCUUUGCUAAAAAUUACACCAUUCUUAUGUAAAUAUACGUUUUCAUUUUUAUCUUAGCCUGUCUUUCAGGCCAUUUGUUGUGGCAUUUGCUUGAGUCAACAGAUACGAGGACUGUCUACAUUUUUAAUAGUUUCGGCAACUACCCUUUAAAGGGCAGGAUUUUAUUGACUUGAUAUUAUAGCCAUGACAAGGACAUACUAAUCAAAUCAAAAAAACUUCAAUCAACACUUGAUGAUAAGCUUUAAUUUACACGAAUUUGUGAAACGUUAUUACUCCCCGUUAGUUAAGGAUUAUUCAUAUACAUGUUUUAUGUAAUUAAAUCAUUACGCAACUCGAUGGAUUUGCCUAUUUAAUAAGUGUUACUAAGUGUUUUGUCUUGCGCAACUGUGGUAAAAAAACUAAAGGAUACAUCAAGCAUUUUUCAUUAAACAAAAACAAUUAAUAUAAAAACUACUUUUGAAGAAGCAUAAAUCUUCCAUAGAUUCCUAGUUCUCAUUUUCUGGACGAUUGCUUGAUGGAUCUUAAAACUUCCGAAAAAUUAAUCCAAACCAGCGGGAUCAGUUAUUUCUCCCCAGCUUCAUGCCCUUAACAACAAUCAUUUGGCCCCGUUGUAUAUAAUAUUAUGUAUAUAAAAUUAACCACAACGCGCAUGUUUUUCAGUAUUAUUGUUAUUUAAUAUAAUUGAUAAACGUUUUGACAAUCCCUUAUACCUAUAAGGGUUGAAUGAAUGGGACAACAGGGUUUACAAUGUUAAAUUAAAGAGAAUCUAGGGAUCAACUUUUUAGUAUUAGUGCAACAAUAAAUGAAUAUUGUAAAGAAUAUAUAAAUAUAUUAAGUAUAUUUUUAAAGAUAGGCUUUUCUAACGAUAGUUCGGAAAAUAUAUGCGGAAAGUCAGCAAGUUUUUCUAAAAAUUCCCAUUGCUAAAAUCAGUCCACUUUUUAACGCUCAUCUAGGAGUCAAUUCUGCUUCAAUUCGGAGACAUAUCCAUGCUGUGCUAAACGAAAAAAUCUAACUAAUGAACGAACUGCAUUACUUGAUAGAACAGACAUUUUGAACUGCGUCUCAACAGUUUUAGCCGAGAUUAUGUAUCUACAUUAGAUUGAACAAGAAUGGUGGUUACUCGUAUCAAGCGACGACAUUUUGAAAGAGGAUUACUCGAUAAGAACAGCCAUAAUUAAACAGAAGUGCACAUAAAUUAAAGCAGUUUGAGUGCUAUCUCAAGGCAUAAUUUAAAUGUUUUUCUUUGGCAAAUACCAAGUUCCGAAGCUCCGCCUUAUCGCGUUAUAAUGUAACCCGCUUUCGACUGGAACCAGUACCAAAAUGAUGUUUGUUUUUGUUACAAGGCUAAUUUCUACUCAACAUAUGUCGCUGAAUAAAUAUGUCUGGAUUAGAUCAACUAGUCAAGCUGUAAAGCAAAUCGUUAAUAGUAUUAUUGUCCACGGUGUUUCCAAGUCCGCUUGCAUCAGCUUCUAAACGACAGGAUAAAUUGCUUAACUUUUCUGCUAGAAGCAAGCUGCUUAAAGAUGGUUGCUUAUCAGAAAACUGAAAAAUGAAUGGUCAUUUGGGAACUAAAAUUGAAUUAAACGAGCGAGUAAUUUAGCGUAUGAUUUCAACAAAUCCAAUUAUCGAGAAACGGUAAUUGCUACCAACUUAGUAUAAAACGCGCAUAAUCAUUGAACGAUAUGGAAAGUAUCUGCCUACUAAUUAAUAAUUGUAAUGGUUAUACAUGUUAUAAAAUGUUGUCGAAAAUAAAUGUCACUUACAUAAAUGUAACGUAUAUAACCAGAUGUUAAACCUAAAUGUCUUAAAUGUUGAAACAUUUGCUAUUCCUUUGAAGGAAUAUCAAAUUUGUAUUUUUGGUGUAAUAAAACGUAUUGAACGUUAAA